rnacentral:rRNA from 1 species
AAGCAAAGCCGCGNGGUAGAGCAAAUCUCAAAAAAACAAUCUCAGUUCAGACUGCAGGCUGCAACUCGCCUGCACGAAGUCGGAAUUGCUAGUAAUCGUAGGUCAGCAUACUACGGUGAAUACGUUCCCGGGCCUUGUACACACCGCCCGUCAAACCAUGAGAGUUGGCAACACCCGAAGUCGGUAGUCUAACCGCAAGGAGGACGCCGCCGAAGGUGGGGUUGAUGAUUAGGGUUAAGUCGUAACAAGGUACC